GGGUUGUGAGGUUAAGCGACUAAGCGUACACGGUGGAUGCCCUGGCAGUCAGAGGCGAUGAAGGGCGUGCUAAUCUGCGAUAAGCGCCGGUAAGGUGAUAUGAACCGUUAUAACCGGCGAUACCCGAAUGGGGAAACCCAGUGUGAUUCGUCACACUAUCAUUAACUGAAUCCAUAGGUUAAUGAGGCGAACCGGGGGAACUGAAACAUCUAAGUACCCCGAGGAAAAGAAAUCAACCGAGAUUCCCCCAGUAGCGGCGAGCGAACGGGGAGGAGCCCAGAGCCUGAAUCAGCAUGUGUGUUAGUGGAAGCGUCUGGAAAGGCGCGCGAUACAGGGUGACAGCCCCGUACACAAAAGCGCAUGUGCUGUGAGCUCGAUGAGUAGGGCGGGACACGUGGUAUCCUGUCUGAAUAUGGGGGGACCAUCCUCCAAGGCUAAAUACUCCUGACUGACCGAUAGUGAACCAGUACCGUGAGGGAAAGGCGAAAAGAACCCCGGCGAGGGGAGUGAAAAAGAACCUGAAACCGUGUACGUACAAGCAGUGGGAGCACCCUUUGGGUGUGACUGCGUACCUUUUGUAUAAUGGGUCAGCGACUUAUAUUCUGUAGCAAGGUUAACCGAAUAGGGGAGCCGGAGGGAAACCGAGUCUUAACCGGGCGUUAAGUUGCAGGGUAUAGACCCGAAACCCGGUGAUCUAGCCAUGGGCAGGUUGAAGGUUGGGUAACACUAACUGGAGGACCGAACCGACUAAUGUUGAAAAAUUAGCGGAUGACCUGUGGCUGGGGGUGAAAGGCCAAUCAAACCGGGAGAUAGCUGGUUCUCCCCGAAAGCUAUUUAGGUAGCGCCUCGUGAAUUCAUCUCCGGGGGUAGAGCACUGUUUCGGCUAGGGGGCCAUCCCGGCUUACCAACCCGAUGCAAACUGCGAAUACCGGAGAAUGUUAUCACGGGAGACACACGGCGGGUGCUAACGUCCGUCGUGAAGAGGGAAACAACCCAGACCGCCAGCUAAGGUCCCAAAGUCAUGGUUAAGUGGGAAACGAUGUGGGAAGGCCCAGACAGCCAGGAUGUUGGCUUAGAAGCAGCCAUCAUUUAAAGAAAGCGUAAUAGCUCACUGGUCGAGUCGGCCUGCGCGGAAGAUGUAACGGGGCUAAACCAUGCACCGAAGCUGCGGCAGCGACACUGUGUGUUGUUGGGUAGGGGAGCGUUCUGUAAGCCUGUGAAGGUGUGUCGUGAGGCAUGCUGGAGGUAUCAGAAGUGCGAAUGCUGACAUAAGUAACGAUAAAGCGGGUGAAAAGCCCGCUCGCCGGAAGACCAAGGGUUCCUGUCCAACGUUAAUCGGGGCAGGGUGAGUCGACCCCUAAGGCGAGGCCGAAAGGCGUAGUCGAUGGGAAACGGGUUAAUAUUCCCGUACUUGGUGUUACUGCGAAGGGGGGACGGAGAAGGCUAUGUUGGCCGGGCGACGGUUGUCCCGGUUUAAGCGUGUAGGUGUGUGUUCCAGGUAAAUCCGGUUCACUUUAACACUGAGGCGUGACGACGAGGCACUACGGUGCUGAAGCAACAAAUGCCCUGCUUCCAGGAAAAGCCUCUAAGCAUCAGGUAACAUCAAAUCGUACCCCAAACCGACACAGGUGGUCAGGUAGAGAAUACCAAGGCGCUUGAGAGAACUCGGGUGAAGGAACUAGGCAAAAUGGUGCCGUAACUUCGGGAGAAGGCACGCUGAUAUGUAGGUGAAGCGGUUUACCCGUGGAGCUGAAAUCAGUCGAAGAUACCAGCUGGCUGCAACUGUUUAUUAAAAACACAGCACUGUGCAAACACGAAAGUGGACGUAUACGGUGUGACGCCUGCCCGGUGCCGGAAGGUUAAUUGAUGGGGUCAGCGCAAGCGAAGCUCCUGAUCGAAGCCCCGGUAAACGGCGGCCGUAACUAUAACGGUCCUAAGGUAGCGAAAUUCCUUGUCGGGUAAGUUCCGACCUGCACGAAUGGCGUAAUGAUGGCCAGGCUGUCUCCACCCGAGACUCAGUGAAAUUGAACUCGCUGUGAAGAUGCAGUGUACCCGCGGCAAGACGGAAAGACCCCGUGAACCUUUACUAUAGCUUGACACUGAACAUUGAGCCUUGAUGUGUAGGAUAGGUGGGAGGCUUUGAAGUGUGGACGCCAGUCUGCAUGGAGCCGACCUUGAAAUACCACCCUUUAAUGUUUGAUGUUCUAACGUGGACCCGUUACCCGGGUUGCGGACAGUGUCUGGUGGGUAGUUUGACUGGGGCGGUCUCCUCCUAAAGAGUAACGGAGGAGCACGAAGGUUGGCUAAUCCUGGUCGGACAUCAGGAGGUUAGUGCAAUGGCAUAAGCCAGCUUGACUGCGAGCGUGACGGCGCGAGCAGGUGCGAAAGCAGGUCAUAGUGAUCCGGUGGUUCUGAAUGGAAGGGCCAUCGCUCAACGGAUAAAAGGUACUCCGGGGAUAACAGGCUGAUACCGCCCAAGAGUUCAUAUCGACGGCGGUGUUUGGCACCUCGAUGUCGGCUCAUCACAUCCUGGGGCUGAAGUAGGUCCCAAGGGUAUGGCUGUUCGCCAUUUAAAGUGGUACGCGAGCUGGGUUUAGAACGUCGUGAGACAGUUCGGUCCCUAUCUGCCGUGGGCGCUGGAGAACUGAGGGGGGCUGCUCCUAGUACGAGAGGACCGGAGUGGACGCAUCACUGGUGUUCGGGUUGUCAUGCCAAUGGCACUGCCCGGUAGCUAAAUGCGGAAGAGAUAAGUGCUGAAAGCAUCUAAGCACGAAACUUGCCCCGAGAUGAGUUCUCCCUGAGACUUUAGGUCUCCUGAAGGAACGUUGAAGACGACGACGUUGAUAGGCCGGGUGUGUAAGCGCAGCGAUGCGUUGAGCUAACCGGUACUAAUGAACCGUGAGGCUUAACCUUACAACGCCGAAG
rnacentral:rRNA from 1 species